ACCAGGUUGGCCGAGUGGUUAAGGCGCCAGACUUAAGGUCUAGAUACGUGAGUUCGAUCCUCACACCUGGUA